UACGGAGGGAGCUAGCGUUGUUCGGAAUUACUGGGCGUAAAGCGCACGUAGGCGGCUUUGUAAGUUAGAGGUGAAAGCCCGGGGCUCAACCCCGGAAUUGCCUUUAAAAACUGCAUCGCUUGAAUCCAGGAGAGGUGAGUGGAAUUCCGAGUGUAGAGGUGAAAUUCGUAGAUAUUCGGAAGAACACCAGUGGCGAAGGCGGCUCACUGGACUGGUAUUGACGCUGAGGUGCGAAAGCGUGGGGAGCAAACAGG
rnacentral:rRNA from 1 species